AACGAACGCUGGCGGCGUGUCUUAAGCAUGCAAGUCGUGCGGCAAGGGUAGCAAUACCCCUAGAGCGGCGGACUGGUGAGUAACGCGUGGGUGAUCUGCCCUUGGGAUGAGGAUAGCCACUAGAAAUAGUGGGUAAUACCGAAUACGUUCCCCCGACUGUGGUUGGGGGAGGAAAAGCGCUUCGGCGCUGCCCGAGGAUGAGCCCGCGUCCCAUUAGCUAGUUGGUGAGGUAAAGGCCCACCAAGGCGAUGAUGGGUAGGCGGCCUGAGAGGGUGUACGCCCACACUGGGACUGAGAUACGGCCCAGACUCCUACGGGAGGCAGCAGCUAAGAAUAUUCCGCAAUGGACGAAAGUCUGACGGAGCGACGCCGCGUGGAUGAAGAAGGCCGAAAGGUUGUAAAGUCCUUUUGUUGGGGAAGAAUAAGCGCGGGAGGGAAUGCCCGCGUGAUGACAUGAACCGACGAAUAAGCCCCGGNUAACUACGUGCCAGCAGCCGCGGUAAAGUCACA
rnacentral:rRNA from 1 species